rfam:Magnaporthe poae ATCC 64411 unplaced genomic scaffold supercont1.1, whole genome shotgun sequence.
AAUCGUAUAGCAUAACGGUAACAUAUUCGCUUUUUAAACGAGAAAUUCUGGGUUCGAAUCCUAAUGCGAUUU